UGUGCUGCACCCAUUAACUAUAUCUAAUAUACUGAAGAGGUCCGAGAAAGUUCACAAUGUGUAGUAUACACUCAGUAAAUGGCAGCUAUUAUUAUCAUUUUCUUCUAUGUGUCUGUUUUCCCUCUCCUUUCGAGAAAUAUUUUGUUUAUUUUCUAUAUGUGCUUGCUUAUGUGUUUAUUGACCUAUUUAUUUAUUCAUUGCUGCUCUAGCUAUAGUUUAGCAUUUUGUCUUUUCGUCUUAUUUCUGGCAGCCUUUGCUUGUUUAGAAUGACAGGCAGAGCCACAGUUAAAACUUCGUCUGCAACUGCAUUCAGACCUCUUGAAACUGGGAGGCAAACCAUAGAAAAAGAAUGGAUAUCCAGACUCCUUCAUCAACUCUUCCUCAACAUGCAGCAAGGCCUUUAAGCAGCAUCUUAGUCUCUAUUGUUGCAGAGUGGUCUGAUGGGUCGUCUUGGCUGGGGAUACUUUUUUGGCAGAUAAUGAUCUAGCAGGGAAACAUGGAAGCAGGAGACAUGAAGGGACAGGGAGGGGAUGGCUGAGAGAAUAGGCAGCUUCAUGGAGUUAGAGAAAGCAGAGUCAGAGAUGGCCAUGGUACCCACUCUUACCCAUUCCCACCCCAAUUCUCCCAGUCAAGUCUGAUGAGAUGUUUUUUCUGACCUCCGCAACCCCUGGACUGGGGUUAAGCCCACAAGGUGUUUCCAGAGCUCAUGCCAUAGAUCUUACCAUACUCCAGGACACAUGGAGACCCUUCCUGGUACUUAUCAUACUGUACGGCAGUUGGCUGAUACUCAUCUUGAUGCCUCUCCUGACUAUCAGCAAUUUGAAGGCAGUAGUGUUGUCUUCACUGCUGAACCCUCUAUGUCAAAGACAGAACCUCAUGUAUGUUAGGCCCUCAAUAAAUGCCCAUGACAUAAAUGAAUGAAGGCAGAGAUGGAGGAAGAAAGCAGAAAAGUUAACAGAACAAAGGCAUUGAGGUAAGGCAUAAGUAGAAAAUGAAUGUGCAGAAGGAGUGGAAAAGCAACUUUGACCUUCAAAUAGUAACUCUCUUUCAAUGGUACCACAUGGACAAAAAGGCCAGACAGAAACUCAGAUCAGGACAGGGCCACAGACAAGAGCCUUGACUGGGAUGCCCUUUCCUAUCUGAGAAAAUGAAAUUGGACUUUUGUCCUCUAAAAUCCACAUCUGUCUCUUCAUCUAGUUGAUGUUCAACCAUUUAGAUAGGACUAUUAUUUAAAUGGCAAUGAGUCAGCUUGAUCACACCUUGUCUAUAGAACUUUCUUCAGCUCCAUGAAGUCAGACUUAAUGUUUGGGGCCAAAGAUCUAGAAAUCUUCUGUUGGUCUAGCCUCCCUCAUUUUCUAGUAUGUAUGUCAAAAUCUUCAAAUAGACUAUCUCAACUGGUAAUAGUAUUUUUCUCUUUUAAGCACCUUUUUGCAACUAGCUCAAAUUUAAAUGGUAAAGAAAAAUCGACAGCAUCCUCUUUACUAUCUAUUAAACCGUACUUCUAUUAAUGAUGAUUCACUGAAGGGCCAUGAAUAGCUACACUGAAAAAUUCUGUAGCAUAUUAAUGUGCUGAGCAUCAUACCACACUUAGCUCCUGAUAUAAUUUUAAGUUCCCUCUGGGGGGAAAAACAGUUUCUCUGGAUUCUUUUUAUAAAAAAAGCACCUUGAUAAAGCUUUCAGAUACUCAAAGACAUGAAUCUUGUUCUGUUCCCUUGUGUAUAUCUGAUUUAAAGGUUAAUAAGUAAUUAGGAAGAACACUCAUCCAAAAAUUACCAAUUAAUAUGCCAUCAUUUUCAUUAAAAAUGCUAUUAAUUAUAUUGUUGUACAAAUGUCUUGGACUGGCUAAUAAAAAGUUACCUAAAGCAGUUCUAAAUCUUUCAGAGAGAAAGAGAAAUGAAUCAAAAUCAAUCACUUUGUAACAUUAUGAUUUGGGUUGGAGAAAUCAAACAAAGGAGAGGAAAUGAGUGUCUCAAUUAUUUAGCGUGGAUAGAAUCUGACAGAGUUCCAUGGUUUAUUUUAUGUACUGAGUCAUUAUUACUAAGAAAACCUAAUAAGAUAUCUUGGCAGAUAUUUAAUGUGGAAGUUUGACAAAUAACAGUUCUUUGGUUCUUAUGAUAUAAAGCAGCUCUUUAUAGAUGAGAUCAUACUUUUAAACUAUCCAGAUAUAUUUUGUUGGUUUCCUAGGAGACUGUAAAUGCAAAGUUAUGACCUAAGUAUGUUAUGUAUUUAAACUUUGUUCUAUACCUUAAAUGCUGGUAUUAGUCACUUAUUCAAAAUUCACAGGAUUUCAAUGUUGAAGAGUUCAUGAUUAAACUUGUACCAUCACUCCAAGAACUCUACUAGAUUUAAAUGUAUGUUAACAGUUUUAUGAGUCCCCAAACUGUUACUGUGCUCUCAUCGUCCUAUCCUGUCAUCUCCUGCAUGGAUCAAACAUCUAUUUCUAUUGUGAUCAUUAUGGCUAAGCUUGCCAGCUGGGUAGGGUUUGAUAAAGAUUACUACGGUGCACGUUGCAGCUCAACACCCUUUUGAUAUGUAACAAACUAUAAUGGGGAUACUUGUCAUGAAUGAAAUGAACCAAGUAUGGUGUUAAGAACUACAUCAACCCAGGCACAAACAAAUGAUUUUCCAACACAUCAUAGAUACAUAAUGGUUGCUAGGCAACCAAAUAUUUCAACGCUGGCACAGGGGAAAACUUCUAUUGCUAAGCUGGGAUUGGCCACUUUAGCAAUUAGUUCUGCUUGGGACUGUCUGUUAGUAUCUUUGGUAUAGAAAAAAAAAAACUUUAAAAGACAGUCUGAAGACUAAUCCCAGGUGUGCACCUAUUUGAGCAGCUCUUGAGAUGGAAACUUUUAUCCCUCAAGCUACAGCAUUGGAGAGCUUCUAAAGAUACAGAACACUGGGAUCCAUACCCAGACCUACUGACCAGAUGCCUCCAUAAGUCCCCGAAGGAAUAUCAUUUGGCAGCCACUGAUAUAGGGUAAAUAACAUGAAGCUACUAUUUUUUGGUCUGUCCUGUGGAAACAGCUUGCAAUCCUCACAAGAACCUCGUAAUGUGAAUAUGCCAGCGUGUUGCUACAGACCGUGCUUACUUCAGCCAAUUUCUCUGCUGAAUAUCCUCCUUUUACUGAUGAGGAAACCAAGUCAAGAAGUCAUAAAUGACACACCCAAGGCUGGGAAGUGGUUGAGCAGCACCAAUUUCAGAGGAUGAUGUCAUUGGACAACGACUCCAUAAUACAUGCCAGUUAUAGUAGCAUCCCCACAGAUCCAAGCUUAACUGUUCUCAAACUGUCAAUCAAGCAACGUACAGGAGGGGGGAAAAAAAAAAAAAGGAACAACCUUCAUCAGCCAAACUUCUUUGAAGUUUAAAUGAAAAAAGAUCCCUGGUUGAAGGGAUUGGAGCAUAGCUGGCCUCUCUUUAGCACUAAAGCACAACUUCAUAGAGAUGCAUAUGUUCCCAGGGGGAAAAUGCAUUCAUUUUUCAUCACCAUAUAAACUUCUGGGUAUAUUUGUAUAGAUGAUGGACUAUGGAUUUCUGGAGCAAGAUGGGGAGCGUCAGAAACCUAACUCCAGGAUUUGCUGGGUUCUCCAAACUGUAGCGGGAACCUCACUCCCAGGCCGAUGCCCCUCUAGCGUCUGCAGCUCUGGGCCCCAGGGAGGGAGGAAGGAGCCACAGAGGGUUCGGACAACAGCACUGACUGAUGCCAGAGCAGGACUCCAUUCUGUUAACCUGACAAAGCGCACAGGCUGCGCCGGCAUGUUUUUCUUCCACUUUCUACACUAAUUUAUCAAACUGGAAGGAAGAGAUCAGAACAUCAAAUAAAAAUCCACAGCCACAGAGCAAUUAACUCAAGACCUAACAUGUACCUGGAUAAGGGGACUCACAAGAAUUCCGGUAUCUACAAGGUUUUAAAUGGCAAUGUUUUCUAACUUUGUAUCUUGGGUUAUUGGUCGUCAAUGUUUCCAAAAAUAAUCACUCCUCUCAGUUACA
rnacentral:lncRNA from 1 species